CCUACGGGGGGCAGCAGUGGGGAAUAUUGGGCAAUGGGGGCAAGCCUGACCCAGCAACGCCGCGUGAAGGAAGAAGGCUUUCGGGUUGUAAACUUCUUUUGUAAGUGAAGAGUAGAAGACGGUACCUGACGAAUAAGCCACGGAUAACUACGUGCCAGCAGCCGCGGGAACACGUAGGUGGCAAGCGUUGUCCGGAUUUACUGGGUGUAAAGGGCGUGUAGCCGGGUGCACAAGUCAGAUGUGAAAUCCUGGGGCUUAACCGCAGAACUGCAUUUGAAACUGUGGAUCUAGAGUACUGGAGAGGCAGACGGAAUUCCUAGUGUAGCGGUGAAAUGCGUAGAUAUUGGGAGGAACACCAGUGGCGAAGGCGGUCUGCUGGACAGUAACUGACGGUGAGGCGCGAAAGCGUGGGGAGCAAACAGGAUUAGAUACCCCGGUAGUC
rnacentral:rRNA from 1 species